AUGUACAAGAUGCCAUGCGCUCCGUUCAUAGGAAUAAAUAACAACAAUCAGUCGUUGCAGUUCGGAUGCGGCCUCGUCCGGAAUGAAGACACAGAUGGGUACGUUUGGCUGUUCAAGACCUUCUUGGAGUGCAUGGAUGGACUUGCUCUGAUGAACAUAAUAACAUACCAAGAUUUCAGCAUGCGUGCAGGCAUAGAGAAGGGCUUUCCGUUGGCAGUGCACAGGCACUGCAGGUGGCACAUUAUAAAGAAGGCUGAGGAGACGCUAGGACCGUUCUUUGCCGACCGUCCAGAGCUGCACAAGGCAUUCGAGCUGUGCGUGGACCACAGCUUGACGGUGGAGGAGUUUGAAAGGAGCUGGAUGGCCAUGACUGAAACACAUCAAGUCCAGGACAACGAGACUCUUGUUAGCCUGUGGGAGAAGCGAAUGUACUGGGUGCCGACCUACUUCAUGCAGUGCUUCUUCCCCUUUCUGCAGACUACGCAGCGCAGUGAGGGGUUCAAUGCUGUUUUAAAAUGGUACGUCAGCCCUGGCAACUCAUUGCUACAGUUUGCCAAGCAGUACACAGCUUUGCAACAAAAAAUUCUGGGAUCUGAGCUACAGCAAGAAGCGACCACAGCCCUAAAGCAGCCAAAAUUGCUAACGUAUUUACCGAUGGAGAGGCAAAUGAGCAAGAUAUACACCAACAAGAUCUUUAACAAAUUCCAGGAAGAAAUAAAGCGUGCCAGCAUGUUCACGGCUUUCCGGGUGGACGAACAUACGUUCAAGGUGUGUUCUAUUUUGGGCAUGUCAGAUUCAGAACCUGAAGACGCGGACAAAGGAAGGAACUACUUCGUCAGAGCCUCGAUAGGCGAAGGCGAGUACUACUGCCAAUGCUGCAAAUUCAAACGGGACGGCAUUGUGUGCUGUCACAUACUAAAAGUCAUGGACAUGAACGCUGUGACACGCAUGCCCCGCCAUUUCAUAAGGAGGCGAUGGACUUGGGACGCUGACGAUGCGUUGGCGCCGCAGACAACACACGCAGUUCUGGCUGUGCAUGACGAGAGACCUGAGUCAACCAUGGAAGCCGUGAGGCACGUUGUGCUGACAAAGAACUAUGCUGAGCUAAUUGAUGAAGCGUGCAAGAGUGAUGACACAGCGAGAGUCGCAGAAAAACACAGGAAGGCACUGAAAAGAGAGCUUGAUGAGAUCAAAAAAAGGAAAGCCGAGGAAGCCUUACACCGGUUCCCCCGCACAUCAAGUGUGCCUUCAUCCACGGGGCCAUCGUCUGAAAACUCAGAGAUAGGAUCUGGAACAGCAAGCACACAAACCGAGGUCAGGAACCCACCCCCUUCCAUCACAAAGGGUCGUCCGAGAGAGAUAAGGUACAAGUCGGGACUGGAGAUUCAAGCAAAACACAAGAAAACGAAGAAAGGGGCGGGCAAUCAAUGA
rnacentral:rRNA from 1 species